AACGCACAUUGCACCUUUUGGUAUUCCGAGAGGUAUGCUUGUUCGAGCGUCGUUUAAACUAUAUUCAAUUUCUUUGUAAAAAGAAGAAAUAGAAUGUCUUGAGGGAUUUCUUUUUAUCAUUAAUUGAAACCUUCCAAAAUAAUUGUAUUAGCGAUCUUGACUUGAUUACUAUUGAACGCAUUAAUAUUAUAUCGUUUAAGAAAAUCAGUGUGAGAGCAGCCAAAAACCAAAAUAGGAUUUUAAUCCUUUUUUAAUCAUUUAAUUAUCGACCUCGAAUCAAGUAGGAUUACCCGCUGAACUUAA
rnacentral:misc_RNA from 1 species